UAGCUCCUACGGGACGCAGCAGUAGGGAAUCUUCCACAAUGGACGAAAGCCUGAUGGAGCAACGCCGCGUGGGUGAAGAAGGUCUUCGGAUCGUAAAACCCUGUUGUUAGAGAAGAAAGUGCGUGAGAGUAACUGUUCACGUUUCGACGGUAUCUAACCAGAAAGCCACGGCUAACUACGUGCCCGCAGCCGCGGUAAUACGUAGGUGGCAAGCGUUAUCCGGAUUUAUUGGGCGUAAAGGGAACGCAUGCGGUCUUUUAAGUCUGAAGU
rnacentral:rRNA from 1 species